rnacentral:RNase_P_RNA from 1 species
UGAGUCGGUCGGAUGGUUGCCCCGGCACUUGUGUCAGGGAGGAAAGUCCGAGCACUACAGGACAGGGCGCCCCAUAACAAGAGGAAUCCGAAAGGAUAUGGAAAGUGCAGCAGAAAACAGACCGCCCCGACAUUUUUGUGUCGAGGUAAGGGUGAAAAGGAGGUGUAAGAGACCCCCAGUUCCGAUAGCAAUAUCGGGAGAUUGUAAACCCCGCCCGGUGCAAGAUCGAAUAGGCUUCGAGAUGUGGUCCGCAUCAUUGUUUUUAGAACAGCAGAAGCGGGUAGAUCGCAUGAUCCUGCCGGCAACGUCAGGACAAGGUGAAUGACCAUCAAUCGGGAUUUAUCAAGAUUCCCGGGAACAAAACUCGGCUUACAGACCGACUCAAUCU